rnacentral:rRNA from 1 species
GACGAGGGACCCUAGGCGUUGUUCGGAAUCAUUGGGCGUAAAGCGGGUGUAGGUGGCUUUGUAAGUCAGGUGUGAAAGCCCUGGGCUCAACCCAGGAAGUGCAUUUGAUACUGCGAAGCUUGAGUGCCGGAGAGGUUACUGGAAUACCUGGUGUAGUGGUGAAAUACGUAGAUAUCAGGUGGAACACCGGAGGCGAAAGGCGGGUAACUGGCCGGACACUGACACUCAGACCCGAAAGCGUGGGGAUCAAACAGGG